rnacentral:rRNA from 1 species
CCUUCUUUUUACUGGGUCAGUAACGCGUGAGAAUCUAGCUCUAGGUCGGGGACAACCACUGGAAACGGUGGCUAAUACCGGAUGAGCCGGAAGGUAAAAGAUUAAUUGCCUAGAGAUGAGCUCGCGUCUGAUCAGCUAGUUGGUGUGGUAAGAGCGCACCAAGGCGACGAUCAGUAGCUGGUCUGAGAGGAUGAUCAGCCACACCGGGACUGAGACACGGCCCAGACUCCUACGGGAGGCAGCAGUGGGGAAUUUUCCGCAAUGGGCGAAAGCCUGACGGAGCAAUACCGCGUGAGGGAGGAAGGCUCUUGGGUUGUAAACCUCUUUUCUCAAGGAAUAAGAAAGUGAAGGUACUUGAGGAAUAAGCAUCGGCUAACUCCGUGCCAGCAGCCGCGGUAAUACGGAGGAUGCAAGCGUUAUCCGGAAUGAUUGGGCGUAAAGGGUCCGCAGGUGGCCCUGUAAGUCUGCUGUUAAAGAGUGAGGCUUAACCUCAUAAAAGCAGUGGAAACUACAGAGCUAGAGUGCGUUCGGGGUAGCAGGAAUUCCUGGUGUAGCGGUGAAAUGCGUAGAGAUCAGGAAGAACACCGGUGGCGAAAGCGUGCUACUAGGCCGUAACUGACACUGACUGACGCAGCCUAGGCCCCCA